GUUGGUGGUAUAGUGGUGAGCAUAGC
rnacentral:piRNA from 8 species